GAAAUGCGAUACGUGGUGUGAAUUGCAGAAUCCCGCGAACCAUCGAAACUUUGAACGCAAGUUGCGCCUCAAGCCAUUCGGUUGAGGGCACGUAUGCUUGGGUGUCAUGCAUUAUGUCUCCCCUCUCGUGUGUGGAGUGGGAAUAGAUCCUGGCCUCCUGGGCCCUUCCUUGGGCGUGGUUGGCCGAAAAUGUUGUCCUUGAUUUUGUUGAUGUCUUGGUGUGCGGUGGAUGUGCCAGGUGUGCAUAGUUGCCAGCCUUGCUCGGCUUCAUUGUGGCGUCGGGAUCCUAUGAAGCUGCCGGUUUUGGCUCUUUGAUUGCGACCCCAAGUCAGGCGAGACUACCCGCUGAGUUUAA
rnacentral:misc_RNA from 1 species